UCAUAUAGUAUUAUAUUUAUUGCCAUGCAUGACACAAAGUACCAUAACAUUUAAUAUGAUACGGUAUCAUGAUAUGAUACUACAUCCUUUCUUUCUUUAUUUAAUGCUACGAUACCUCAUCAAAAUUGCCUAGUUAAAAUGCAUGAUACCAGCUAUGAUACUACCAUUACGACGAGCCUUACCUCUACUUAUGGUGCAUCACUUCAGGAGCCAACGCCACCACUGGACGGUGGCAGCCCAACAACCAACUCCAUAUCCCCUCGACCCCUUCAUCUCGGCUUCUACAUCCAUGCCCAGGUACGACGGCGGGGCGGCAACAGUGGCGGGGAGGCGCAAGAUCUGAGCUGCGAUGCGGAGCGGCUCGACGUACAAGAGCGCUGCUGCGCCCAGGUCCAGGAGCAAGAUUGCACGGGUGUGCCGGGAGGCAGCCGCAGACCACGGCGAGGAGCGUGGCCGUGCAGAGGAGGUGAUGGCCACACCAAACAGCGGCCACUCAAGUUCCAAGGAUGAGUUUGAUUCAAUCGUAACUGAAGACUAGAAGAUGAUGCCUAGAACACUGAGGUGAAGAAUGGAAGAUGAUACAUGGUUCUACCCGUGCGUGCUUGAUGUUGUGCUAUGCCAUUUUGUGGGAAACUAAGACUGAGAAUGAUGUUGUGUUGUUGCUAUGUCAUUUCGCGAUGACUGAAAAUUGUGUACUUAUGUUUAUUCGAUGUUAUGUCAUUUUGUGAGAAUGUGAGAGAUUAUUUGGUGAUCUGCACUUUCCAGUGUCAUCUUGUGAGAAUCCAAGAGAUGAUUUGAUGCUAUGCACUUGUGCUAUGUCGUUUUGUGAGAGAUUAUGUGAAUCUUGUGCA